rnacentral:lncRNA from 1 species
AAAGCUCAUUGACUCUUUUCAAGCAUGGUGAUGAGGUCGUGGGAAGAAGAGCAAAGACGGAGUCUCGCUGUGUUGUCCAGGAUGGAGUGCAGUGGUGCUUUCUCAGCUCACUGCAACCUCUGCCUCCCAGUUCAAGCAAUUCUUCUGACUCAGCCUCCUGAGUAGCUGGGAUUACAGGCACCUGCUACCACACCAUGCUAAUUUUUGUAUUUUUAGUAGAGACGGGGUUUCUCCAUGUUGGCCUGGCUGGUCUCGAACUCCUGACCUCAGGUGAUCCACCUGCCUCGGCCUCUCAAAAUGCUAGGAUUACAGGUGUGAGCCACCACACCUGGCCAACUUAUCCUUUUUUUAACAUCUAGUUUUCUGUGAGUGUUUUCUAAUGUGCACUGUAGACGGACAUAGUGGUAUGUGAUUACUAUUCAUAGAUAAAUAAUAAUUUGUUUAUUAUUGUGUAAUAAACAUUGUGUGAUAAAGAA